AUACGGAGGGUGCAAGCGUUACUCGGAAUCACUGGGCGUAAAGCGCGCGCAGGCGGUCUUUUAAGUUGGAUGUGAAAGCCUACGGCUCAACCGUAGAACUGCAUCCAAAACUAUUAGACUAGAGUGUGGGAGAGGAAGAUGGAAUUUGUUGUGUAGGGGUAAAAUCCGUAGAGAUAACUAGGAAUACCAAAAGCGAAGGCAAUCUUCUGGAACACUACUGACGCUGAGGCGCGAAAGCGUGGGGAGCAAACAGGAUUAGAUACCCUAGUAGUCC
rnacentral:rRNA from 1 species